CUGAGACAGAAGUUGCUUACCCCUGACUUUUGAAAGGAGAAGACAAGCUGCAUUGCACUGGGGGGUCACAACCAAUUACAGCUCUGCUGCUGGCUUUAUGUGACAUUAGGAACACUGAACUGUGAGUCAGAAUGUUGGGUUGAGAUCUGGCACUGACUGGCUGACACCCUGGGUCUGCCAUUUGUCCUCUCUUGAGCCACCAGCACAACAUAAUGUACUUGAUAAAAGAUGCCACUGUAAACCUGAAAGCCUUUUGCAAGGUAAGACAAGCAAAAUUGAGAAAAGAGGUAAGUGGCGUGUUUUUGGACAAUAAUGACUUUAUCUGAUUUGUGUUCCAAAUCCCAGGUCAAUGGAAUCGACUUUCAAUUCAAUUAACUUUUGAUCCUUAAAUGUAUAUCUGUUUAUUCAUUUUAAUAAAAAAAUUCCUAUUUUUAAAUGUAAAAUUGAGAAGUAUAUGAAUAAGGAACUGCUGCAGUAUGAUGCCUUUGCACCUGGGAAAGGUAAGUGUCAACUGAUCCCAUAAGACUUCUAGAACUGAACAUAGUGUGCCCAGAGAAUUACAGGUACAUAAAUUCAAAUUAAGUUAUCUGGGAUGAUUGGUUUGGAUAUCUCUGCAUCUACUAUGAAUGACAUAAGUGAGGAAACUCAUUGACAAAGGCAGUGCUUAUAUGUGUCAGGAUACAUAGGGUAAAACUGGUGGAGGAUGCAACUUGCAACUUUUAACUAAUAACUUACCUUUUGCUGAACCUGUUGAACUUGGCUAUGCUUAGAAAUAUGAGGGGGAUGCUACAAGGUGGAGUUUUCCUCCCUCUGUCUUCCUAUGGUGAUAAAAAUGAUAGGUACAAAAGAACAAAUGACCCACAUAUUUAAUAUAAAGCCUAUUGGGAUAGAAAUAUGUCAUUUAUUUAUUUUGUUAGUUCAAAAGAGAAGAAUAGACAGUAUUUUUUAAAUUACUGAGCUGGAUUCUUUAGAAUGGGUCCCCAAAUUUACCCUGAUGAAGAGUUGCUCACUUGAAAUCUUUAAGCUGAAUAGUAAAAAAGCAAGAGAGAGGAAGAGGCCUGCGGAGAGUGUUAAGAGUUAGCUGGAUAGUUGGAAGGCCACAGCGGGUGCUUGGGGCCCAGCAAAGAGUACAGCUCUCUUAAUUUCAAAUAAUGAUUAUUUGAAAUUAAUUUCAAAUCAAAUAAUGAUUUACCAUGCUGCAGUUGCAGGAAAUGACAGCUGUGGCCACACAUUUUCCCUCUACCCACCCACAUCAAAAUGCCAAUGAGUUCUACGUCUUGCUCCUUUCUGGUAAUGUAACAGCACUUAAAGCAAGUACUUCAAUAGCUGCAGGCCACCAGAAGGAUGGAGCCCAGAGCCUGCUGUCUUGUGAUUAGUGGGUGGAAGCACAUAUCUCACUGUUACAUCAUGAUCAAACUGCUGCACACUUAAAAAGUUCAAAAUCCAGUGUCUGGACCUCAUUUUUCUAAGAAGGCAUGCUUUAGGUUUUUAUUGAAGGUAAUAUAUUUCUGGAAUAAAAAUGGCAACUAUAGCAUACCAAAAAUAAUGAUAUUGACAAUAACAAUAUCACAAUAACAAUGAAAGUUAAUUGAGCAUUUACUCUUUGAGGGACACCAUACUCAGCAUUAGAAAGCUUAUCUUCUAUAAUUCAAAUAGCAACUCUAUAACAUAGGUGCUAUUUUCAUUAUUUUCAUUUUACAACUGAGAAAAUUAAGGCACAGAGAGAUGAAAUUAUGUGCCUAAGGGACUCACGGCUAAUAGGUGGCAAAAUAAUGAUUUGAAACUUGACUGUUAUUCUCAAAAGCCCAUGAGCACCAUCUUUCUAGACUUAAAAACUAAAUUGUCUUUCUCUUAUUAUCAUCACUAUUUAACAUUUUCCACAAGGUUGGCCUAACCAUCAACCAUUGUCCUUUUGGAAAAAAAUUUCUAAUGGCAUACUUACUCCCCCUAUAUCCCCUUCCAUCUGUUUCUUUGCAAAGAUGAUUGACGACUGAGCCUAGAGUCUAAAAAUGCUGUCAACAUCUGCAGCCCCAGGAGCUCAUACAAAGUAACUAACUGGAAAGUCAUUAACUGAUGCAGUAACUAUUUUCUGUCCCCAAGAGAACCUUGGCACCUUGGAGCAGGACUCUUGGGCCCUGCAUGGAGAGACCAGUAUAGUAAUGUAUAAUGCAGCCCAACAUAUGUGUCAAACAAACAGGGCCAUUGGUGGCACAGACUGAGGUGCCUACUUCAAAUGAAAUGAUAUUCCAGCACUAUCCUCCUGUAUUAUAGUUAAAGCAGCAAAUGGUUAAUUAAAAGCAAUCUCUUUUGUUUCUGAGGCGACCCUUUCUCCUUUGCCAAUAGAUGACUGUUUAUACUCCCAGUUUAUUUCUUCAGUCCUAAAGAUAUUUUAUUGCCUGCUAAACUUAGUUUUCUCUAAAUUGCUGGAGAAGAAAAACACCCCAAACUGCUUAUUUCAUCAAAACUGGCUCCUAUAUUAUAUUGGCCAAAAUGAAAUCCACCAAUCCAGGGCACCAGAGUUGAUAAUAUGAGAGAGGGGUGCUUGAUAAGAUUUUAAAAAAUUCUCUGGAGUCACAGUUGGUCAUUACUUAACCUGUCAAUCUCACAAGUACUCAGUAGGAGUCUCUCCAUCUCCUACCAGAUAAUUGCAUUAAGUUAUAUUGUUUGAAUUACUGUCAUAUAAGCACUGAGAGGAAAGAGAAUAUGAACAACUGCUUCAUAAAGCAUUUAGAAUAUUGCCAAGUGUAAAGAAAUGCUUAAGUGCUGAUCAUGAUGACAUGUGGUAAAUUAGCCCCCAGCAUCAUGGCAGAGUUGACUGGUUCUAAAGUCACCUGACUUCCUGACAGCCCUAUUCCUUGGCAGGUAUUGGAGAUUUAAGUAGUGGUGCUGGAUUUCAAUAGUACUCCCAAGGAUGCAAGUGUGCUAAGGCUUUCUCCUCAAGGCGUGACACUUAGCACACUUGUGUGGCCUGGACUGAUAUCUUGGCUCUGCCACUUUCUUGUCAUGUGAUCCAGUGCAAUAAUUUAAUUUUCCUGAAUCUCACUUUCCCAAUCACUAAAAUGGGAACAGGGCUACUUUUCUUUCCUGCUUCACUAGGCUAUUGUGUGGCUCCAAUAAGAAAAACUGUAGAAAAAUGCUUUGAAGAAAAAUGGUUUGAAGAAUACGUAAGUACUUAAGUACUAUAAAAAUGCAUUGAUAGCUGAGAAUUUUCAGUGGUGUGUGUGUGUGUGUGUGUGUGUGUGUGUGUGUGAUAGAGAGAGAGA
rnacentral:lncRNA from 10 species